rnacentral:rRNA from 1 species
UAUGGUUGAUCCUGCCAGUAGUCCUAUGCUUGUCUCAAAUAUUAAGCCAUGCAUGUCUAAGUAUGAACUAAUUCAGACUAUGAAACUAUGCAUGGCUCAUUAAAUUAGUUAUAGUUUUUUUGAUGGUAUGAUAUUACUCAGAUAACCAUAUUAAUUCUAGAGCUAAUACGUGCAACAAGUCUCAACUCUUUGGAAGGUAUGCAUUUUCUAGAUAAAAUGUUAGCACAGGCUUGCCCUCUUCUCUAGUGAAUCAUGAUAACUCAACAGAUCUCAUAGCCAUUGUGUUGGCGAUGAUUCAUUCAAAUUUCUAUCCUAUCAACUUUUGAUGGUAGGAUAGAGGCCUAUGAUGGUGGUGACGACUUACAAAGAAUUAGGGUUUGAUUCCAGAGAGGCAACCUGAGAAAUAGCUACCACAUCCAAGGAAGGAAACAUGCUUACAAAUUACCCAAUCCUGAUAUAGGGAGGUAGUGACAAUAAAUAACAAUAUUGGGCUUAUCGAGUCUGAUAAUUGGAAUGAGUACAAUCUAAAUCCCGUAACAAGGAUCCAUUGGAGGGAAAUUCUGGUGCCAUUAGCCACGGUAAUUCCAGCUCCAAUAGCGUAUAUUUAAGUUGUUGUAGUUAAAAAUCUCAUAGUUGGAUCUUGGGUCGUAAAGGUCUGUCCACCUACUCGGUGUGCACUUUCCCUUUCAUCCCUUGUGGCGGAGGUAUGCUCUUGGCCUUAAUUCACUGUGUUACAGCUUUGGUAUUGUUACUUUGAAAACAUUAGAGUGCUCAAACCAAGCUUAUGCUUUAAAUAAAUUAGCAUGGAAUAACAUGAUAGGAGUCUAGUCCUAUUGUGUUGGCCUUCAGGACCGGAGUAAUGAUUAGCAAGGAUUGUCAAAGAAUUCGUAUUUCAUUGUUAGAAGUGAAAUUCUUGGAUUUAUGAAAGAUGGAACACUGUGAAAUAAUUUGCCAAUGAUGUUUUCAUUAAUCAAGAAUGAAAGUUGGGGGAUUAAAGAAGAUCAUAUACCAUCCUAGUCUCAACCAUAAACGAUGUCGACCAGGGAUCGGUGGAUGUUUUUCUAAGGAGUCUGCUAGCACCUUUUGAGAAAUUAGAGUGUUUGGGUUCCGAGGGGGAGUAUGGUCACAAGGAUAAAACUUAAAUGAAUUGAUGAAUGGGAACCACCAAGAGUGGAUCCUCUAGAUUAAUUUGACUCAACACGGGGAAACUUACUAGGUCCAAACAUAGUAAGGAUUGACAGAUUGAGAGAUCUUUCUUGAUUCUAUGGGUGGUGGUGCAUGGUCAUUCUUGGUUGGUGGAUCGAUUUGUCUAGUUAAUUCCAAUAACGAAUGAGACCUGAGCCCGCUAACUAGCUACGCAGAGGUUCCCCUUCACGAUCAACUUCUUAGAGGGACUAUGGCCAUUUAGGCCAUGGAAUUUUUAGGCAAUAACAGGUUUGUGAUGCCGUUAGGUGUUCUGAGUUGCAUGUGCUCUAAAAUGAUGUAGCCAACGAGUUUUUCUUCAUGGUUCGAGAGGAUUUGGAAGUCUUCUCAAAUUUCAUCAUGAUGGUGAUAGACCAUUGUAAUUAUUGGUCUUCAACGAGGAAUUCCGAGUAAGAACAUGUCAUCAACUCGUGUUGACUACGUCGAUGCCCUUUGUACACACCGCCCAUCACUCCUACCAAUUGAAUGAUUUGGUGAAGUGUUCGGAUUGAAUCAAUGAUGGUGGUUCUCCACCAUUGAGAUUGUGAGAAGUUCAUUGAACCUUAUCAUAUAGAGGAAGGAGAAGUCGUAACAAGGCUAUCAUAGGUGAACCUUUGGUAG